rnacentral:rRNA from 1 species
GACGAACGCUGGCGGCGUGCCUAACACAUGCAAGUCGAACGGGGCAGAGAGCUUCGGUUUUCUGCUUAGUGGCGAACGGGUGAGUAACGCGUGAAGAACCUGCCUUUCAGUGGGGGACAACAGUUGGAAACGACUGCUAAUACCGCAUGACACUGAUGAGGGCAUCCCUUAUCAGUCAAAGCUUUAAGUGCUGAAAGAUGGCUUCGCGUCUGAUUAGCUAGAUGGCGGGGUAACGGCCCACCAAACCUACGAUGGAUAGGGGUUCUGAGAGGAAGGUCCCCCACAUUGGAACUGAGACACGGUCCAA